UGGCGCACGGGUGCGUAACGCGUGGGAAUCUGCCCUUAGGUUCGGAAUAACUCAGGGAAACUUGAGCUAAUACCGGAUAAUGACUUCGGUCCAAAGAUUUAUCGCCUAGGGAUGAGCCCGCGUAGGAUUAGCUUGUUGGUGAGGUAAAAGCUCACCAAGGCGACGAUCCUUAGCUGGUCUGAGAGGAUGAUCAGCCACACUGGGACUGAGACACGGCCCAG
rnacentral:rRNA from 1 species